GUUAUGUAAUAAAGUUGAAAAGAUAAUAUUAACUUAGUAUUAUGUCCUUUGGACAAAGCACCAUCUCAAGAUUUCAUUCUCCAAUUCUGAAGGAUAUACAAGUUCAUGAAGCGAAUAUCUAGUCUCCUGUGGAUUGGUUGCACAUCUUUUCAGACAUAAAUUGACCAUUUAUAGGAAUUACCAUGCAGGAAAACUAGAGGAGGAAUUGGGAAAACAGUUAAUAUUAAAUUAUAAUAGAACAAUUGCUAUAUGAGAAUCAUUUGGGCCUGCAGUUAACAAUGUGUGCUGCCGCUGUCAUUUGGUGCAUCUUAUACUCUAUUUCAUGGCAGUUAGGAAAGAAUAUGUUGUUAAAUUCAACUUUUUCGUUUCAUUUUUUAUGUUGGAAUAGCAAUAAUCCCUCAAACACAAAUAACCAUUAAGUUUUAUUACUACUUGAACUUUGACGGUGUUGUGAAACCUUGUGAAUUUUUGUAUCACGUAGGCAAUAAUGAUGGUUGUGAAUCCUUAUAAUUACAUGGCAUUGCUGUCUUCUUUGCCCUCCUUUUCUUUUCAUUUGGAUUAAUGCUACCCUUGGUUCUUGGAAAAGGUCCAACCAUUUUAAAUUCCCUUGUGUGUUUUGACAAAACAGUAGCCUCUUGUUCGCAUUGUUAAU
rnacentral:misc_RNA from 1 species